rnacentral:rRNA from 1 species
UGCGUAGGGUGCGAGCGUUAAUCGGAAUUACUGGGCGUAAAGCGUGCGCAGGCGGCUUUGCAAGACAGAUGUGAAAUCCCCGGGCUCAACCUGGGAACUGCAUUUGUGACUGCAAGGCUAGAGUACGGCAGAGGGGGAUGGAAUUCCGCGUGUAGCAGUGAAAUGCGUAGAUAUGCGGAGGAACACCAAUGGCGAAGGCAAUCCCCUGGGCCUGUACUGACGCUCAUGCACGAAAGCGUGGGGAGCAAACAGG